rnacentral:misc_RNA from 1 species
AUAAAAACGCCAAUGAUUCGACUUACUCCCCUAUAAGAGUCAGCUGAUAUAAUAGAAAAUUCAUAUUCAUGCAGUCCAACUAUUAAACUAUUGAGUUAAAUUUUUUGGAACAAAAAUAGAGAAUAUGGCGGAAAUAUAACCACAAUAUUCUUCUACUCUUACAUAUAUUUUACGUGGGCUAUUUCAACUAUUCUCUUAUAGAGUGAUGUUGCAACUUCCUGUCUCCUAACAUCAAGGUGAAUUUGUAGGUCUCAAAAAAUAUAACACGUGUUGUCGCUCCACUAUAAGUCCUCCAGUUAAUUUCAUUCGGCUUUAGGAAGUGUUGUAGACAACAUUGUUAUAAUUAUGUUUUAUUAUCGGACAUAGUUAAACAACUGUCAAUAUCUCUAUUUCAAAAAAUUUUUAUUCAAGAUUACUCACUUCUAAUCAACCUUCAAAGAAACUUCAUAGUUUUUAUGUUUAUCGUUUAUACUUGAUCUUCAAUAAUGACGGUUGAAGAAUAUUCUAGUCAAUAUGACGAUACAGAAGAUUUUGAAAGGAGAUCGGAUAAAGUUGAAGAUUUUAUGAAUUUGGAGGAGAAAUCAACAGAAAUUUGUGAAAAAGGAAAUAUUGUAGAAGAGAUUGAAAUAAAGAAAAAUGAUAAUAAAUUCGAAGAAGGAGGAUACGGUUGGCUCAUUUGCAUUGGAGCUUUUAUUAUCUAUUUCAUUAUUGGUGGAGUUAUGAGAUGUUAUUCUCUAUUCUAUGAUUCUCUAUUAGAAAAAUUCGAACAUUCGAAUGCUAAAACAGCUUGGGUUGGUGCUAUUCAUAGUUCUACCAAACUAUUACUUGGACCUGUUGCGGGUGCUCUUCAAGGAUAUUUGAGCCCGAGACAAAUGAUUUUUAUAGGAGCAACAUGUUGGUCUUUGGGACUUGUUUUAACUGGUAUUUCGAAUUCCUUAGAACUAUGUAUUGUAUCUUUUGGUAUACUAAGCGCUCUGGGGGCCAACUUUUUACUAGUUACAACUUUAUUCAUAAUUCCUCAAUAUUUCAAUAAAAAGAAAGGAAAAGUUAUGGGAUUAGUUUUCUGCGGAGUUAGCACUGGUAUGAUAGCUUUCGCGUAUAUUUUCCCAUUGUUAUUCGACCAAUACGGAUUCUUUGGAACAUUUCUAAUUUUAAGUGGAGUCUCAUUGCACAUCUUUAUCUCUGCUAUGUUAUAUAGAUUACCGACAAAUACUCAGCUAAAGAAAGACACGCUAAUCAAAGAUAAAAAUGAUGAUAGUUUUGAUAAAAAGAAAGCUUUGAGUGAGAGAUUUAUUAAUGAACUCAAAUCAAAACUCAGACUAUUUCAGAAUAGAUCCUUCUGCUUUAGCUGUUUCGUCUUCUCUUCGCUAUUUGUUGCAUUUAAUACGAUAAAUACAUUUACAUCUGGCCUAUUAAGAGAAAGAGAUUUCAAAUCAAAUGACGUCUCUCUACUAUUUCUAGUAAGUGGAUUAUUAGACGUUUUAAGCAGACCAAUUUUUGGCAUUAUAAUUGACAUAAAGCCGUUAAGAGAACGGCGAUAUUUAGUCUAUACUGCUAUAUCGUGUUUUGGUGGAAUAGGAAUAUUAUGUAUGGCAUUAUUUGCUCAUUCUAGAAUUCUCUUGCUCUGCCUUAUACCUAUUUCUACAUCGGUAAUAGGCUCUUGUGCCAGCCAAUUAAAUACUAUAGUCAGCGACAUAGUUGAACUUGAUCGACUUGGAGAUGCCAUAGGAUUUGUUCGUUUCACUCAGGGAGUAGGUGUUCUCUUUGCACCGACAAUUGGAGGUCUACUGAAAGACAUCACCGAUACUUACACGUACAAUUUUAUCCUCUCUGCAGUACUCCUAAUUAUUCCGACCAUAUUAUUUGCGUUCUAUAUGCACCUAAUCGACUCUAGAAAGAAGAAGAAGGAAAGAGAAGGAGUUACUGUAUUUACCGUUGCCUAAAAAGAAAUUCUGAGUUAAUUUUACAAAAUUCUAAUUUAUUUUUAGACAUUUUUAAAUUUAUUUUUUCUUUGUUGUACAAAGAAAAAAUAAGAAUACGUAUUAUUAAUAGUGAGUUACCUCGUUCAUAUUCACUACCUGUGGGGAUCUCAAGGUAUUAAAUUACAAUUUAUAGAGCCAUAUACUGUAUGUAUUAUAUAAAAAAGAUGGUUAAAAUAUGUUCACCCUACUCAACCUCAACGUUGAUGAUUACUUGAACUAUAUGUGUGCUAUAUCAGUGUAAUAUUUGUGCCAUAUAGACUGAUAUUGUUUAUAGAUAUAAAAUAUUUACAUAUUUUAAAUUAUUGUAUCUUAAUAAAGUAUUGAUAAGAAAGAUUUUA